AUCCGAACGUAAAACAGGUGAAUUGGUACGGUAAAUGGUAGCAACAAGCAAACGGGUGGAUGGAAGAGGCAUGGAAAAGAGAGAGAUGGACAACAGACAUGUAUAAAAGAGUUCGUGAUGCGACCCCUAGCAAAAGUGGAAAUUCAUGCAGUUCAGACGACAAGGAGUUUCAUGCUUAAGCGACUCGUAUUGGAUAAGCCACCACUUAUCACAAAACCAACACCAACAGAGCCCCAUGUUUCAUCUAGCCUUUGCAGAGCCCAUAUCAAGAUUCAAGCGUGAAGGUUGCGGUCGCAGAAAUCAAUAUCGAGGAGCUGACGAAGGCUUGGCCUUCGCAGAAACCAUACCAAUAUCGAUGGUGUAUGCGAAGAUGAUGAAGGCGUUGAGGACAUGCUGUAAGAUCUUCGGUUAGCGAAUCUGAAGAUUUAUCUCAUCCUAUCUCCCAUCAUCUUGGCCGGAGAGUCAUUGCUUGGGUAGACAAUUUGUUCUACACGUUUUCCUUGGUUAUGUUAAGCUAAACCCCACGCGUUACAGUCGACCACGUAUGACACACCGCCCGAGCUACACAAAGAAAAUAAUGAGACCAUGUCACUGGCAGACCACUUCAUCUUUUUGCUUGUCUCGCAGAUCACUUCAUCUUUUUGGUUGUCAUUCAUCUGCUGCUGAAAACAAUUGCCUACAAAUUUGGAAGAAGAAUUAAUCAGCACAUAUUAUAAAAGGAAAAACAGAUGAAUCAGAACAGAUUGGACAUUACUUUUAUUAUUUAUGUCCUAUUCAUUACCUAUUUCA